rnacentral:rRNA from 1 species
CCUACGGGGGGCAGCAGUGGGGAAUAUUGGACAAUGGGGGCAACCCUGAUCCAGCCAUGCCGCGUGUGUGAAGAAGGCCCUCGGGUUGUAAAGCACUUUCAGUGAGGAAGAACGCCUGGUGGUUAAUACCUAUCAGGAAAGACAUCACUCACAGAAGAAGCACCGGCUAACUCCGUGCCAGCAGCCGCGGUAAUACGGAGGGUGCGAGCGUUAAUCGGAAUUACUGGGCGUAAAGCGCGCGUAGGUGGCUUGAUAAGCCGGUUGUGAAAGCCCCGGGCUCAACCUGGGAACGGCAUCCGGAACUGUCAAGCUAGAGUGCAGGAGAGGAAGGUAGAAUUCCCGGUGUAGCGGUGAAAUGCGUAGAGAUCGGGAGGAAUACCAGUGGCGAAGGCGGCCUUCUGGACUGACACUGACACUGAGGUGCGAAAGCGUGGGUAGCAAACAGGAUUAGAUACCCGAGUAGUC